AUGUACCCUAGAACUUAAAGUAUAAUAAAAAAAUUAUAUAAAAAAAAUAAAAUAAUAAAAUAAAAUAAAAUCCUCUUAUUUAAAAAAAAAAAAAAAAAGAGAUUAUCAUGAACUGGGAGAAACUUGCCAAACUAGAAUCAAAAGUGUGCAACAGUGAAAAAAUAAUUGCUAGCAGAAAGAAAAUGGUUCAUAGAACAUCUAUAGCAAAUAAUUAAAAGUUUGGUUCUCCUUAAAGAAGUUAGAGGUCAACAAUAUUUCUGGUAUCAAAGAGGGGAAUAUGUGUACAAACCAAAGAAUGGUGAUGUACUUUAACAAUGCUCUAGGUCAGGCAUCUCUAGCAGUGAACACUACCAUUACAGGCCAUGCUGACACAAAGCAGCUGAGACAAAUGCUGCCCAGCGUCUUAAACCAGCUUGGUACAGACAAUCUGACUAGUUAAGGGAGACUGACAAGUUAUUCUGUUCAAAUAAUCUAGGGGAUGGAAAAGCAUUUGCUACUGGAGAUGAUAAUGAGGAUGAAGUCCCAGAUCUUGGGGAGGAUUUUGAUGAGGCUUCCAAGAAUAAGGCAAAAUGAGUCAACUUUUGAAAAAGAUAAAACUUGAAGAAGUUCCUGGGACCUGCUAUUUUAUAUUAUCACUGCUUUUUAAAUUUUUCACUUAUGUGUCUGAUAAAAUCUAGAUUUUUAGUAUUUUUAAGCCUAAGCCUCUUGGACACUGCAGCUCUUUCCAGGCUUUGCUUAUACAUUAUUCAUUUUUUGCAGCUAAUUAAACUGAAUAGAUGGUAACAAAAUUUGAACCAAAGGUUUAAAAAGUUUUCUGGCUGGGCACGAUGGCUCAUGCCUAUUAUCCCAGCACUUUGGAAGGCCAAGGCAGGAGGAUCACUUGAGCCGAGGAAUUCAGGACCAGCCUGGGCAACACUGCAAGACUCUGUCUCUACAAAAAAAAAAAAAAAAAAAAAAAAAGAAAAAAGAAGCAUAUCUAUGCAUAUUUUGUUGCAUUUUUAAAAACCAGGCAGGGAGGAGAUUGGGAAAAUGUUGGUCAAAACAUAGAAAUUUUCUGUUAGAUAGUAGAAAUAAGUUUAACAGACCUAUUGUACAACAUGGUGAUAUAGUUAAUAACUAUAUAUUGUAUUCUUGAAAAUUGCUAAGAGUAUAUUUAAAGUAUUCUUUACACAAAAAAGGUAGUAUGUGAGGUCAUGUAUAUGCUAAUUAGCACAAUUUAGCCAUCCCACAAUGUAUACACAUUUCAAAACAUUGUGCUAUACAUGAGAAAUACGUUAAUUUUUUGUCAAUUAAAAAGUUGAUUGUCAGGCCGGGUGCAGUGGCUCAAACCUGUAAUCCCAGCACUUUGGGAGGCUGAGACGGGCGGAUCACGAGGUCAGGAGAUCGAGACCAUCCUGGCUAACACGGUGAAACCCCAUCUCUACUAAAAAAAUACAAAAAAAAAAAAAACUAGCCAGGUGAGGUGGCGGGCGCCUAUAGUCCCAGCUACUCGGAAGGCUGAGGCAGGAGAAUGGCGUGAACCCGGGAGGUGGAGCUUGCAGUGAGCUGAGAUUCGGCCACUGCACUCCAGCCUGGGGGACAGAGCAAGACCCUGUCUUAAAAAAAAAAAAAAAAGUUGAUUGUUUAAUUUUUUAACAUAAACAAAAUGCCAGAGACAUACACAGAAAACUACUUUAAAAUGGUUGUUAUCUAAUGGAGAAGUAUGUAAACUUGAAGGAGGAGAGAUAGGAGUGGGAAUUAAUCUUUUUGUUCUAAUCCUCAACUACAUUUGAAAUAUGUGAGGGCAUUAUAUCAUCAACAUAUUAAGUAAUUUAUCAAAUGCCAGUGAGGAGAACACAUCUGGUAUCAGACAAAGCUGAUACCAAAGAUACCCAGGGAGGUAAAAGUUCUCCUGCAGCAUAACUCAUUCCUCCACGGAGGCCUUGAGAGUGAUGACCUGCAAUUAGUAAGACACCAUCACCAUGAUGACCCAUUUCCUAUGUCCAGUCCUCCUGGCAGAAGAGAGCAGAUAAUCCAGCACUGGCCAGUUCCCAUAGCCCUUUGGGUAUCUGUGUGCAGAGCCAAAGGCUUCUACUUUCCAGCAAACAUCCAUUUUACAUCAAAUCUUACCUAACACAAGGGUGACAACUUUCCUUAGUGUCAUCAUCAGCAAUUCAGGAGUUGCCUCCUUCUUCACCCUUGUAGACAUCACCAAUACCUGUCUUUCUUGCCACUCAACUUUCUCACUGUAGAGGUGUGUGUGCAUGUGUGUGUGCAUGCAUGCAUGCACG
ensembl:lncRNA